rnacentral:pre_miRNA from 1 species
AAUGCAACUGCUGGAUCAUAUGGUAAGGAUAUGUUUUGUUUUGAAAGAAAUCACCAGACUGUUUUCCAAAGUGUCUAGAUCAUUUUAGAUUUCCACCAGCAGU